GAUGAACGCUGGCGGCAUGCCUUACACAUGCAAGUCGAACGGUAACAGGUCUUCGGAUGCUGACGAGUGGCGAACGGGUGAGUAAUACAUCGGAACGUGCCCGAUCGUGGGGGAUAACGGAGCGAAAGCUUUGCUAAUACCGCAUACGAUCUACGGAUGAAAGCAGGGGACCGCAAGGCCUUGCGCGGACGGAGCGGCCGAUGGCAGAUUAGGUAGUUGGUGGGAUAAAAGCUUACCAAGCCGACGAUCUGUAGCUGGUCUGAGAGGACGACCAGCCACACUGGGACUGAGACACGGCCCAGACUCCUACGGGAGGCAGCAGUGGGGAAUUUUGGACAAUGGGCGAAAGCCUGAUCCAGCCAUGCCGCGUGCAGGAUGAAGGCCUUCGGGUUGUAAACUGCUUUUGUACGGAACGAAAAGCCUCUUUCUAAUAAAGAGAGGUCAUGACGGUACCGUAAGAAUAAGCACCGGCUAACUACGUGCCAGCCGCCGCAGUAA
rnacentral:rRNA from 1 species